rnacentral:rRNA from 1 species
UACGGAGGGCGCGAGCGUUGUUCGGAAUCACUGGGCGUAAAGCGCGUGUAGGCGGCCGAGCAAGUCGGUUGUGAAAUCCCGAGGCUCAACCUCGGAACUGCAUUCGAAACUGCUCGGCUCGAGUCCCGGAGAGGAUGGCGGAAUUCCCGGUGUAGGGGUGGAAUCCGUAGAUAUCGGGAGGAACACCAGUGGCGAAGGCGGCCAUCUGGACGGUGACUGACGCUGAGACGCGAAAGCGUGGGGAGCAAACAGG